UGGCGGACGGGUGAGUAACACGUGGGUGAUCUGCCCUGCACUUCGGGAUAAGCCUGGGAAACUGGGUCUAAUACCGGAUAUGACCUCCUAUCGCAUGGUGGGUGGUGGAAAGAUUUAUCGGUGCAGGAUGGGCCCGCGGCCUAUCAGCUUGUUGGUGGGGUAAUGGCCUACCAAGGCGACGACGGGUAGCCGACCUGAGAGGGUGACCGGCCACACUGGGACUGAGACACGGCCCAGACUCCUACGGGAGGCAGCAGUGGGGAAUAUUGCACAAUGGGCGAAAGCCUGAUGCAGCGACGCCGCGUGAGGGAUGACGGCCUUCGGGUUGUAAACCUCUUUCAGCAGGGACGAAGCGCAAGUGACGGUACCUGCAGAAGAAGCACCGGCUAACUACGUGCCAGCAGCCGCGGUAAU
rnacentral:rRNA from 1 species